CCCUUAGAUGUUCUGGGCCGCACGCGCGCUACACUGAUGCAUUCAACGAGUUUCUUCCUGGUCCGAGAGGAAUGGGUAACCUUUUGAAAGUGCAUCGUGAUAGGGAUAGACUAUUGCAAUUAUUGGUCUUCAACGAGGAAUUCCUAGUAGACGUAGUUCAUCAGACUGCAUCGAUUACGUCCCUGCCCUUUGUACACACCGCCCGUCGCACCUACCGAUUGAAUGACUCGGUGAAAAAUUGGGACCGUGAGUCUGUUUGCUUCAUUGCGAGUGGAUUGAUGGGAACUUUUUUAAACCUCGCCAUUUAGAGGAAGGUGAAGUCGUAACA
rnacentral:rRNA from 1 species